CCACGGAAUUUAGCAGAGAUGCUUUAGUGCCUUCGGGAACCGUGAGACAGGUGCUGCAUGGCUGUCGUCAGCUCGUGUUGUGAAAUGUUGGGUUAAGUCCCGCAACGAGCGCAACCCUUAUCCUUUGUUGCCAGCGGGUUAUGCCGGGAACUCAAAGGAGACUGCCAGUGAUAAACUGGAGGAAGGUGGGGAUGACGUCAAGUCAUCAUGGCCCUUACGAGUAGGGCUACACACGUGCUACAAUGGCGCAUACAAAGAGAAGCGACCUCGCGAGAGCAAGCGGACCUCAUAAAGUGCGUCGUAGUCCGGAUUGGAGUCUGCAACUCGACUCCAUGAAGUCGGAAUCGCUAGUAAUCGUAGAUCAGAAUGCUACGGUGAAUACGUUCCCGGGCCUUGUACACACCGCCCGUCACACCAUGGGAGUGGGUUGCAAAAGAAGUAGGUAGCUUAACCUUCGGGAGGGCGCUUACCACUUUGUGAUUCAUGACUGGGGUGAAGUCGUAACAAGGUAAGCGUAGUGCU
rnacentral:rRNA from 1 species